AUCUUUGGGUAUCGGAGAUGGAUGAAUGAUGAUGAUAAUGAGAUAUAUAAUACGUCUACUACGUACAAGAAAUCAAGAUUACAUCACUAUAUAUACUUAAUUAUUACUGUUGUUUUACUUUAAUUAUUGGCAAACCACAAUCAUAAUGAAUGAAUCCAUGUGUCAGACAUGUUCUUCCAUCCCCCAAUCUCUCUCAAUAUUCGAUUGAGUUCGAUCUCUGUCUUUGACAAUUGAACAAACCAGAAAAGAAAAAGGAAGAAAAUCAAUAAUGGUUCCUUACAUCUUUCCAUCUGCAACUAAUCUUGUCUGCCAUCAAAUGCAAAUAUGUCUAGUUAGUUGUCUGGCUAGAGUAGAAAUCAAACAAGAUUGAAUUCAUCUUCUUACUGUCUAGUGUCUACACCUGCACGUGUGGUGUUCCAGGAAAAAAGAAAUCUAUGUCGUUCUUUGAUUUGAAUAUACCUAAUUUUC
rnacentral:lncRNA from 1 species